rnacentral:rRNA from 1 species
UACGGAGGGUGCGAGCGUUGUCCGGAAUCAUUGGGCGUAAAGGGCGCGUAGGUGGCCCCUCAAGCGUGCGGUGAAAGUCAGGGGCUCAACCCCUGAUCGGCCGUGCGAACUGGGGAGCUUGAGCACUGUAGAGGCAGGCGGAAUUCCGGGUGUAGCGGUGGAAUGCGUAGAGAUCCGGAAGAACACCGGUGGCGAAGGCGGCCUGCUGGGCAGUUUUGCUGACACUGAGGCACGAAAGCGUGGGGAGCGAACAGG